rnacentral:lncRNA from 1 species
GGCAUUCUAUGACAAGCGUCCAGGCCUUGAGUAUCAUCAAGGGCAUGCUGCACACAAAGGGGGGGGAUUAAGAUCUUCCGAAACAGCCCCGAUGCGUGGAACCCAUGCUUCAAAGUCACGAAUACGACAUCACAAGAAGGAACAGUCCGCAAGGGUGCCCAGCACCAAGGUCAGCAGGGAACCAUCUCCGGCCCGAAGGGAAACCGCCCUCCCCCCAGCUGGCUGCCGACCUUCACCAAACCGUGCAGUGUUUCUGCGCAAAAAGCGUGUCUCAGCUGCUACACCGGCAUAAGUCGAAGCCAAGCCGAAGCCCGCCAGAGCCCCACAACCGUGCAGCAAACCACCAAGUGAUGAAUAUGGAUGUUACAGAGGGGACAGCCCCAGCACCCGAAGACGCCGAGCCAUCACAUGCUAUCAGGGCCCAGCUUGACUCCACCAACCCCGACUUUGCUGCAAACCCUCCCGCGGGCAAAAUCCGUGUGACUCACCGCACAGUGAGUCCUAGCCAAGCCUCAACCCGCCAGAGCCCCACCGCUGUGCCUCAACGCCACAAGCCUAGGCACAGGAGUGCAGGGAAUCGUCUAGGCCGCAGCACACACGCACAGCGCACGCACUAACCAGUUAUGUCCCAACGUUUCCGGUCGGGCGGUCGGGCGGUCGAGGGGGUCAGAGAGAGACGGGUUAGCGAGCGAGGAAGGCGGGUGAGGGAGAGCUCGUGGCAGCGCAAAUUUGCCUUGAACUUGCAAGACAGAAGCCUGGCUGUAACAUCCUGGCUGUAACAGUGUAACCUGGUGUAACCUUGUAAGCUGCCACGUUGUUACUGGGUUGUCAGCACACACGGGUGCACACGUCCACAUGUCCAUAUGUCGGUCGAUCCAGCCUGGGCUAAGCCGGGCGAAGGCCCCUUCCCUAAGCGAAGUCGGCUGAAGGCCUUCAGCCCAUGCACGGAUCAGCCCUCAGGAAAUGGUGCAUGCGACCAGGCAAGAACCUGCAAGAAAGGGCACGCCUAUUUGCACAGAGGGUCAUACCAUAGUCAGCGCCAGCAUAGGCCUGACUCACGCGUGCCUGACCUCACGAAUGCCUGGCUUGUUACGCUUACAGUUGGCUUUGUUUCACCUGGUCUCGCUGACAAGUUCCUGGCCGGCAGAAGUUGCCUUUAUGUUUCACACCGUCCUCCCGUGCCGUCCUCGUUUAUCGCAAUUAUACAGAAUGUUUGGCUUCAGCCACACACAAAGCUGUCGCGGAAGCGCCAUGUAGGAGGGUGCACGCGCGCGUCAAAUAUGGAUGCCGAGAUGGAAACGAAGCCGAAACACCUGGGAUGCCUACAUGGCUGGGCCACCGCGAUGCUAUAUUCCCAUUCUCAGUUCACAAUCAUGCCAUGUAAAGAAGCGCUGAGGCGCCAGCGGGGCAAAAGGCGAAGGUUGUGCCUAAGAGCGGCGGCAUGGGCUGGGCCGCACGGCGCCGCACCUGAGCCCAACGCCCAGCCCAAACAAUAGCCCUAAUACAAGGCUAUGCCUUGGAAGCGAGCUGCUGCGGCUCCAGGGACUGUCGUGAACACUUUGCCGAUCGCCGUUUGGAAUAUGCCUCGGUUUGCAGUUUGCGCAACCACACUGCCGACCUUCCAAACUUAAUAUAGAUAACUAUCAAGCUGCCACAGCCCUGCCAAGCUAGCGGCGAGGCCGUCAAGGGACAUUCUCAAUCGGAAACGGUGUUAGGCGCCUGGCCUGUCGACGGUUGUGACCGGAAGCAACCGCUCGCUGUUCAAGAGCCACAGUAGUCGCUCCCAGCAGGUGCGAGCCGCAGGCGUUGACGGCGACAGGCGUUUGCCAGCGCAUGGUGACGGGCCGCUGGAAGCUAUGAGCGCGAAGCUCCCUUCAAAAACGCGGGAGCGCCAGGAAGCUAGCCCUGGGUGCAUUUCAAGUGUUUAGUGCCCUUGGAGAGAUGCACCGGCCCGCACAGAGGCACCGCUACUGACGUAUCGAGGGGCGCGGACCCGCCAAUUCGCAAAUGUGACGGGCUCGCUCAUAAAGUUGCCGACCCAUUUGACG